UACGGGGGGGGCAAGCGUUGUUCGGAAUUACUGGGCGUAAAGGGCUUGUAGAUGGCCAACUAAGUCAGACGUGAAAUCCCUCGGCUUAACCGGGGAACUGCGUCUGAUACUGGAUGGCUGGAGUGUGGGAGAGGGAUGCGGAAUUCCAGGUGUAGCGGUGAAAUGCGUAGAUAUCUGGAGGAACACCGGUGGCGAAGGCGGCAUCCUGGACCGGCAUUGACGCUGAGGCGCGAAAGCCAGGGGAGCAAACGGG
rnacentral:rRNA from 1 species